rnacentral:lncRNA from 1 species
UUUCCUGAGGUCUCCCCAGCCAUGCCAAACGAUGGCUUUUUCCAUGCUGCCAGGGAGGUGGUGCUGGCACCCUCAACUUCACACAUGUCAAUUUCUCAACCCCAGAAGAUAGAGGAGAACUCUCAUUAUCUGCAUAACAAUGCUGAAAAUAAUAAUGGACACGGUAUACAUUUCCUCAAGAGGAUCUAGUGACAAGGCACCAUCUUGGAAGCAGAGAAUAGCCCUCACUAGACUUUGAACAUGCCAAUGCCUUGAUCUUGGACUUCCCAGCCUCCAGAACUGUGAGGAAGAAAUUUCUACUGUUUGUAAAUUACAAGUCUCAGGUAUUUUGUUAUAGCAACACAAAUGGACUAAGACAUAUUAUAUUCCUCCAGACACAACCUCCAAGGGGAAAGCUUUAUGACACCAACUGCCUCAAACACUAAUGUUCAUUAUACCAUUUUGAAAUUAGGCAUUAUUUAGCAGAAUUAACUCCCUUUCCUUAUUAACAUCCAAUUCCUUGUGAAAACAUCCAGUGAAAAGAUUUAUUGCUUUGGGUAUCUUGUGGGAAGUUUUAUUCUGAAAGUUCAGAGUUGAAGCAGAUUCUGACAAAAUCACCACGCAGAUUUUGAGUAAGAACUCUACUUGUUGUAAAACAGUUUUCAAUAUGAAUAAAUCCAUAUUCUGUAAAGGAGAACAACAUUGUUAUAAACUGUAGCUUUAUUUUAUAUGGCAGUACUCAUAUGAGAGCCUGCCCACAGACAUGUUUACUAGGCUGCUGUAUUGACUUGACAUUGAUUCACCCAGCAUCAAAUAUCUUCUGAGCACCUCUGUGCGUCAGAACCUGUGCUAGGAUCCUGGCCUAUAACAUUGAACAAGACAGGGUUCCUAUUCAUUUGCAGCUAUGGUUGGAUGAGUAAUGGGUUCCCAAAGAUGUCUGCAUCCUAAUGCCUAGAAUUUGUGAAUGUUACCUUAUGUAGCAAAAGGGACUUUGCUGGUGUAACUACGUUAAGAGACAAGGGAGCCAUCCUGUAUUACCCAGUGGGCCUGAUGUAAUACAAGGGUCCUUAUAAGAGAGAUGCAAAAGGUAAGAGUCAUUAGUAAGAGAAAUGACAAUGGAAGCAAAGAUAUUAGAAUGAUUUGAGGAAGAGGUCAUGACCGAAGUGAUGUAGAUGGCUCCUAAAAGCUGAAAAAGGCAAGGAAUUGGAUUCUUCCCGGAAGUGCCCAGAAGGAACACAGGCCUGUUGAUUUUAGACUUCUGACCUCCAGAACUGUAAAUAAUACAUUUGUGUUGUUUUAAGCCGCUAAGUUUGUGGUAAUUUGUCAUAGCAGCAAUAGGAAACUAAUACAGAAGGUUACAUUCAAAAUGGGGGCAACACAUAAUAGGAAAGUCAAUCAGUAUUUUUCAGCAUUUUGUGGGGGGAUGGUUCUCCAUGUGCACAUCCACCCAGACAUCACGGUCACGCAGCCGCAUCCAUUAACUGUC